rnacentral:tRNA from 1 species
UAUAUUUUGGUGUAUGGUGCACGAAGAAUUUUGAUUUCUUAAGAUUUAGUUUAAAUCUAAAAAAUAUAA